GUGCUCUCUUCAAUGGUACAUAUGCUAAAACUGAAAUCAUGUAGGGAAGAUCAGCAUGACGCCUGCAAAAGGAUGACAUGAAAUCCAUAAAGCAGUCCAUAUUGUA
ensembl:snRNA U6 U6 spliceosomal RNA